ensembl:lncRNA
AGACAGAGCCCCCAGCAGCAUUUCUGUUAAAUCAAAUGUCUCACAUAAAUCAAAGUCUGACAUGUCAGAAGCAGCAUCUUUCCAAGGAGAUGAAUCUUUAAAUUCAGUGAAAUCAAACACACCUGAAGCUGAAGCAGCUCCUCGAACAGAGCUACCAGGGGAGAGAUCGCCAAGCUCUGUGUCUUCAAAAUCAAAUAUCUCUACAAGAUCCAGAACAUCCAAAAAUGUUGAUGUAGACCAAGACGAAGCACAGGAAAAAGAAGAUGUUCAGGAAAGAGCAUCAAGUGCUAUUUCAGUAAAGUCUACUACAUCUGCAAGAUCAAGGAAGUCUGAAACAAUACCCAAAUCAGGAGAAGAAAUGAAGGAACGAGCUCCUAGUGUUAUGUCAGUCAAAUCAAAUGCUUCCUUAAAAUCAAAUAAGUCUAAGAUGGAGGAAGAGGAAAUAGAAAACAGAGCCUCCAGUGCUUUGUCUGUUAAAUCUGAAGUUUCCAUAUUGUCAAAAAAAUCUAAUCAGUCAGACGUAGAGCAAAUGGAGAAAAGACCAUCAAGUGCAAUAUCAGCUAAAUCAAAUGUUUCUGUAAGAUCUAAAGGGUCCAAAAUGUCAGAGGUGAAAGGAGAUGAUGAUCAAUCAUCUGCAGCAGCAUUACAUACCUCUGAAACAUCAAAUGAAUGCAGCACAGCACCUGAAGAAACCUGCAAAGGCACAGAGAAGUCACAAGACAAAGAGAAAAGAGCACCAAGUGCAUUGUCAACAAAAUCCAAGAAAUCCAAAAUAUCUGAUAUGGCUGAUGAUAUUGUAGCUGGAGAUGAUUUGAGAUCUGCAAGUGCAUUGUCCUCUAAAUCAUAUGUAUCUGUGAAAUCAGCUGUCUCAGAAUUGGUCACAGAAGAGCCUUUAGAAGCACAGGACCAAACAGAAGAACGGGCUCAGAGUGCAUUAUCAGCACAAUCCAAUCAGUCAGGAGUGACUGUAAGUGAGGGAGUUGAAGUUGCAGAGGAACGGGCACUGAGUGUCAUGUCAUCUAAAUCCAAUGCUUCUGAAAGAUCAAAAAAAUCCAAUAAUUUAAAAGUGCUAACUGCUUUGCCUCAAGCAGCAGAGCACCAAACAGAGGAACGAGCUCAGAGUGCAUUGUCACCUAGAUCAAGUGUUUCAACAAGAUCCAAAAAGUCCAACAUUUCAGAUGUUUUAGCUGAUGAGCUUGUUGAUGUGAAAGACCAGGAAGAAGAGAGAGCUUCAAGUGCUUUGUCUGCAAAAUCCAGCAUUUCCGCAAAGUCAAAGAAGUCAAAUGCUUCUGCAACAGACGUCAAAGCUGAUGACAAAGGAAAGGGAGACAGAGUACUAAGCGCUAUGUCAGGAAGAUCUGAUAUUUCUACCAAAACCAGUAUCUCUGCAAAAUCCAAAGCAUCAAAAGUUUCAGAAAUACCACCAGAAGAGCCUGAUGAUGAAGAAAGGGAAGUAAAAGCACCAAGCAUUACUAAAUCCAGUAUUUCUGAAUACUGGAUUGCUGAAGAAGAGGUUCAGAAUAUAGAGAGACCUCCAAGUUCAAUUUCAGUAAUAUCUGAUGCCACACAUGAUGAAAAUGAAAUUACAAAUGACGGUGAAAUCCAAGAAAGGGCUCCAAGUGCUGCAUCUGCAAAAUCAUGUUCCUCUGUAAGAUCCAGAACAUCAAAAGUUUCUGAAAUAAUCAUAGAUGAGCCAGAUAAAGAAAAAGUAGAGAGGGCACCAAGUUCUAGGUCAUUGAAAUCUGCCGCCUCUGGAAGAUCUGGUCCAAAUGAAGAAAAGGAAGCAAGAACAGAAAGCGCUUUGUCCUCAAUUUCUGUAAGAUCAAAGAAGUCAGAAGGUUCUGAGAUAAUCAGCAGUGUAGAGCAGAGAGCAUCAAGUACAGCAUCAGUUACAUCUAAAAUAUCUGCAAGAUCUGAAAGGUCAAAUAUUUCAAUAGUUGCUUCUAAAGAAAUUGGAAACACAGAUACUGGAGAUGUCCGAGCAUCAAGUGCAAUGACCGCAAAAUCUUGUGCAUCUGAGAAAUCUAAAUAUUCAGAAAGAACAACUGAGGAGGAUGAAGAAGCAAGUAAA